rnacentral:rRNA from 1 species
GGGCUUACGGGGGGCAGCAGUGAGGAAUAUUGGUCAAUGGGCGAGAGCCUGAACCAGCCAAGUCGCGUGAAGGAUGACGGCCCUAUGGGUUGUAAACUUCUUUUGUCAGGGAGCAAUUGGGUCCACGUGUGGGCUUAGCGAGAGUACCUGAAGAAAAAGCAUCGGCUAACUCCGUGCCAGCAGCCGCGGUAAUACGGAGGAUGCGAGCGUUAUCCGGAUUUAUUGGGUUUAAAGGGUGCGUAGGCGGAAUAUCAAGUCAGCGGUAAAAAUUCGGGGCUCAACCCCGUCGUGCCGUUGAAACUGAU